rnacentral:rRNA from 1 species
CUUUAUUGGAGAGUUUGAUCCUGGCUCAGGAUGAACGCUGGCGGCGUGCCUAAUACAUGCAAGUCGAGCGAACCAAUUAAGAGCUUGCUCUUAAGAAGUUAGCGGCGGACGGGUGAGUAACACGUGGGUAACCUGCCUAUAAGACUGGGAUAACUCCGGGAAACCGGGGCUAAUACCGGAUAACAUUUUGCACCGCAUGGUGC